rnacentral:miRNA from 1 species
CUGAGCAUAUGUUGCAUACAUG